rnacentral:rRNA from 1 species
AACGAACGCUGGCGGCAUGCCUAACACAUGCAAGUCGAACGAGAUCCUUCGGGGUCUAGUGGCGCACGGGUGCGUAACGCGUGGGAAUCUGCCCUUAGGUUCGAAAUAACAGUUAGAAAUGACUGCUAAUACCGGAUGAUGACGUUAAGUCCAAAGAUUUAUCGCCUGAGGAUGAGCCCGCGUAGGAUUAGCUAGUUGGUGUGGUAAAGGCGCACCAAGGCGACGAUCCUUAGCUGGUCUGAGAGGAUGAUCAGCCACACUGGGACUGAGACACGGCCCAGACUCCUACGGGAGGCAGCAGUGGGGAAUAUUGGACAAUGGGCGCAAGCCUGAUCCAGCAAUGCCGCGUGAGUGAUGAAGGCCUUAGGGUUGUAAAGCUCUUUUACCCGAGAUGAUAAUGACAGUAUCGGGAGAAUAAGCCCCGGCUAACUCCGUG